CUGCCUGUAUGGAACUCUGUGUUGUAUGCAUGUUGGCUGUAUAUGUGGUUAUGGACAAUUUUUACAGAGAUGGGACUCCUGUCUUCCUAGAUGACUGUAACUGGAAGUGGUGAGCAGUGUUGGGGUUUAAAUAAAGGGAGAAACAUCUGCAAAAGAGAGGGGUUUAUGGAUCCAGUAACAGUUUUCUGGCUCUUUAAAGCCUUCCAAGAUUCCCUGGAAGCUAGAGAGCUGUAAUCAACCAAGCCCAAACACUGCAGUGUUUAGAAGUUAAUUUUAAAAUUGAAGAAUGAAUGCUACAUGAUACAGCCUUGGGUUUUUAUGUGAACCUAGAGCUGAAAUCAGAGAGGCAGUGGGAAUUCAGUUUGACCUCAGCACUUGCCAAGCAUGUAACAAGCACGUAGAUACUUCACAGUCACCAAGGUGAGCUAAAGAGAAAUGGUGACAUCACAGAUGGAGCAAGGGUUGCUGAGCGGACCUUAAUCUACCAAGUCCUGGCAGCAUCAGUAGAAGUAUUUUAACUUUAGAUGGAAAAUGUCAGAAAUACAGCCAACUCCUAUGGGAAAUGUCAGAAAUACAGCCAACUCCUCAUCUUGUCAUGUGGGGAAAGAACAAGUGAAGAGAUUGUGCCUGUGGAACAUUCACGUCCUUCAUCUGAAGAAACAAACCUAGGCUGACGUGGAGUCAGCAGUAGAAUUCUGGAUUUCAGUGAGACUAAGGGGAAGCUGUUCCCAAUCUGAUGAGCUGCAGCUUGAUCUCAAUGUUUUGGUACUGAAGGCACUUUGUUUAUUGGAAAAUACUGUCUUUUUCCCACCAUGAGUGUCAUGUAGCCACCUGUGCUAGCUAGACUUGCACAUUCUACAGAUCAUAAAAAUAUGCUUAUUGUAGUUUGAUAUUCUGGAGCUUAAUAAAAAGGGAUGUGCAGUGAACAGUAAAGUACAUGAACUGGGUUGAGA